UACGAAGGGGGCUAGCGUUGCUCGGAAUCACUGGGCGUAAAGGGUGCGUAGGCGGGUCUUUAAGUCAGGGGUGAAAUCCUGGAGCUCAACUCCAGAACUGCCUUUGAUACUGAGGAUCUUGAGUUCGGGAGAGGUGAGUGGAACUGCGAGUGUAGAGGUGAAAUUCGUAGAUAUUCGCAAGAACACCAGUGGCGAAGGCGGGUCUCUGGACAGUUCCUGACGCUGAGGCACGAAGGCCAGGGGAGCAAACGGGG
rnacentral:rRNA from 1 species